UCACAAGAUCAAAAAGGUUUAUUGUUGAAUUUAGUAAAUUGUGUACAUUUCUUUAUUCAAAUCUAGGCCCGCAUAGUUUCGCGUUGUUUCUUGAAAUUUUUUAUGAAGAUUACAUAAAAUACUUCCAGUAACAACAAUUGUCAGUUGCAAGCAAUUUAGACUUGCCCACAUUUCCAUGCUUGAAGGACAAAACAAAAAUCUGGAGGUGUUAUGAAUUUUUAGGUGGAAGACCGGACAUCGGUGAAAAACAAAUUGCCUUCAUUAUAAUUAAGAUUUAAGGACUGCUGGAAAUGAAACGGCGGUGGGAGAUUCUUUGAAAAAACGCCGAAAAGAAAAAGAAUUUAAGGAUCUCAUUUUAAUUGGGCGGACACUGUCUACGUCCAAUUUUGGGACAAAUUCUCUCGUUCCUUAUCCUUCAGACGACAAUAAGCAUUGCCAUCCUGACAGGUUUAACGCCUAAGGCCACAACCACUCAGGUGUUAACUAAUCCUCGGUGGUCGGAACAAAUCCCUUUUACCUGGCUGGUACCAUCUUUGACGGGGGUGCCAUUACCAGCCAGCCUCACAAAAGAAGGAAUAUCACAACAAAUUGACCACCCCGGCCGUGGCGACAAUGGUAUGUAACUUGUUCAAAUCGCGCGUGAGGACUGUCGUAAAAGUGGAUUAGAAGCUUCUCCAAAUUUUCCAACCACCUUUUCUUUCAAGAGAUUAAGAUUAAACGUCGAUUUUACCACCCAGACGUCGUCCAUCUUUUGUCACUAAACACUGGAAAAGAGAGUACCACCAACCUUUCUGAGCGAUUAGCUGUUUUUCUCAAAACCGCAGGUUAUUACUAGAUUAGGCUGUUCUACAGGCUAACUUAAGAAAAAGCUAUAGCAAAAUUAAUAGUUAAUAAAAAAAAGUUAAUAAUUAUA